CACGUAGGGGCCAAGCGUUGUCCGGAUUUAUUGGGCGUAAAGAGCUCGUAGGCGGUUGGGUAAGUCGGGUGUGAAAACUCCAGGCUCAACUUGGAGACGCCACCCGAUACUGCUCUGACUUGAGUUCGGUAGGGGAGUGGGGAAUUCCUGGUGUAGCGGUGAAAUGCGCAGAUAUCAGGAGGAACACCGGUGGCGAAGGCGCCACUCUGGGCCGAAACUGACGCUGGGGAGCGAAAGCGUGGGUAGCAAACAGG
rnacentral:rRNA from 1 species